CCUACGGGAGGCAGCAGUGGGGAAUAUUGCACAAUGGGGGAAACCCUGAUGCAGCGACGCCGCGUGAGUGAAGAAGUAAUUCGUUAUGUAAAGCUCUAUCAGCAGGGAAGAAAAUGACGGUACCUGAGUAAGAAGCCCCGGCUAACUACGUGCCAGCAGCCGCGGUAAUACGUAGGGGGCAAGCGUUAUCCGGAUUUACUGGGGGGAAAGGGAGCGUAGACGGCAGUGCAAGUCUGGAGUGAAAGGCGGGGGCUCAACCCCCGGACUGCUCUGGAAACUGUACGGCUGGAGUGCAGGAGAGGUAAGUGGAAUUCCUGGGGUAGCGGUGAAAUGCGUAGAUAUUAGGAGGAACACCAGUGGCGAAGGCGGCUUACUGGACUGUAACUGACGUUGAGGCUCGAAAGCGUGGGGAGCAAACAGGAUUAGAUACCCUUGUAGUC
rnacentral:rRNA from 1 species